rnacentral:rRNA from 1 species
CAUGUCGAUAAUCUGCCCUCAGGUUUGGGAUAACCUCGGGAAACUGAGGCUAACACCGAAUAUGAGAAUAUGACUGGAAUGUCUUUUCUCCAAAAAGUAAUGCCUAAGGAUGAGUCGGCACCUGAUUAGGUUGUUGGUGGGGUAACGGCCCACCAAGCUUACGAUCAGUAGGGGCCCUGAGAGGGGUAGCCCCGAGAAGGGUACUUAGACACUGACCCUAGCCCUACGGGGUGCAGCAGGUGCGGAACCUUUACAAUGCACGAAAGUGUGAUAAGGGAACCCUUAGUGCUUAUGCACUGCAUAGGCUUUUUCCAAGAGUAAGUAUCUUGGAGAAUAAGUGGUGGGUAAGACUGGUGCCAGCAGCCGCGGUAACACCAGCGCCACAAGUGGCAAUCACAAUUAUUGGGCCUAAAGCGUCCGUAGCCGGUCUUGUAAAUUCUUUGUGAAAUCGUCGGGCUCAACCCGACGAAUUGCAGAGAACACUGCAAGACUUGAGACCAGGAGGAGUCAGAGGUAUUCCAGGGGGAGCGGUAAAAUGCUAUAAUCCUUGGAGGACCACCUGUGGCGAAGGCGUCUGACCAGAAUGGUUCUGACGGUGAGGGACGAAAGCCAGGGGAGCAAACCGGAUUAGAUACCCGAGUAGUCCUGGCCGUAAACGCUGUGAGCUAGGUGUUGCAUAUUCUUCGCGAAUAUGCAGUAUCGAAGUGAAGACGAUAAGCUCACCGCCUGGGAAGUACGGUCGCAAGACUGAAACUUAAAGGAAUUGGCGGGGGAGCACCACAAGGGGUGCGGCGUGCGGUUUAAUCUAACUCCACACAGAGAAUCUCACUAGAGGCGACGGCAGUAUGAAGGUCAGUCUGGAGGGCUUACCCGACGAGCCGAGAGGUAGUGCAUGGCCGCCGUCAGCUCGUGCUGUGAGGUGUCCUGUUAAGUCAGGCAACGAGCGAGACCCAUAUCUACAAUUGCUAACAGAUCAGAAAUGAGGCCUGAGCACAUUGUAGGGACUGCCCGGGAAACUGGGAGGAAGGCGUGGGCCACGGUAGGUCUGUAUGCUCCGAAUCUUCUAGGCUACACGCGCGCAACAAUGGUUGGGACAAUGGGAUACAACUCCGAAAGGAGAAGUCAAACCUCUAAACCCAAUCUUAGUCCAGAUUGAGGGUUGUAACUCACCCUCAUGACGAUGGAAUCCCUAGUAAUCGGGUGUUAUCAGCGCCCGGUGAAUAUGUCCCUGCUCCUUGCACACACCGCCCGUCAAACCAUCCGAGCAGGGUUUAGAUGAGAACUAGUUAUUUGACUAGUGCGAAUCUAAGCUCAGUGAGGCGGGUUAAGUCGUCACAAGGUA